AUAUCUGCACCACUUGGCCGCGACCCGUUUUGCUCCGCGUUCUUUUUGUACGCGUUGUUCCCCAAAGACAUAAGUCGCGUACGAUGGUGGGGUCUCUCGACGGGAGGCUCCAGCGGUAGAGAAGAACUUCGUACGGUUGUAAGAACGUACAAGCUGAGUUCGAAGUUUGGAGACCACUGUACUUGCGGCCAUUCUGGAAAGCAGGGGAGACAGGCAGCUAUCCAGCCUUUUGAAUGAACACUUAGAAAACACUUCUACUGAGUGAGCGUGUGUGAGUGAGCGAGUAUGUGAAUGAAUGAACGAAUGCAGGAUGGAGAAGGAACAACAGAGAACAAUCGUCGAGAGGGGGUUCAGUGGAGCACUGGAGUCUCUGCGUAGAGAUGUUGAAAAGCUCGAGAUCGAUAUGUGGCAGCUACUAUCGCAUUGAGAGCGCUCCGAUCUGCGCUCUGUAGACGCUGCUUCGGCUCGUCUUGGAGUCCUACGCUCGUUCGGAAAGCGACUCCGCGGAGGCUCGUCGCGAUGACCCACUCCCAAGUACAGACGUUUUCCAUGGGAACGUGUGCGAAUCCGGCGCUGGAGCCGAGCGGGGAGCUGAGAACAUGGCCCUACUGGAGCUCGCUGGUGAUGAUCGUGCUACAACCCGAGGACAGAGAGCGUACGAAUGAGGUGAAUAAAUGGGCCCCUUGGACUUCUGUCGAUCGAGCAAGAAGCUCCCCACACCGAGCCGGAAGCUCCCAGCAUACCGUCCUGCCUGCGAGAGAUACGGCGUUAUUCGGCGUGGCACCCGAAACCGAUCGACUUGUAACGUCAAGAUGCCUUUUCUGUCCGACUGUACGAAGGCUUGAAUUUAUCGCACAACAUAUGCUGGAGGCGCAUCCAGAUGAAUGCAGACGUAGAGUGAAAGGGAUGGAUCAGGAUGCGACUUCGGAAAGCGAAGAUAUACCUCGGUCUCCGUACGCUGAUGCCGUCCCGGGAGCUUCUGGGCUCGGAUCGAUUUCAUAUCCUGAUCAUCCGGAAGACUCAGAAUCGCAGACAAAAGCUCCGGAGUCACUUUUAAGACUUCCACAUGACGUGACUCCUAGUGCCGACGAUCCCGAUAUUCGGGUUCAGCCAAAUAACCAUGCUCACCUUAAGGUUUUCGACUCAGCGAGUAAUUCCGCUGAGCUCCAUGAGACAGCGUCGAAUAACGGCAGGAAACCGUCCAGGAAGAGAAGGUUUUCCCUGCAGAAAAAUAGAGAAUACGAUCCUGACGAGCAUUGUGGCGUGCUGACGGAACCUCACGGCAAGCCGUGCUGCUAUGCCCUAUCAGCCUGUAAACUCCAUCCUGUGAUGCAGCGACGCGCCGUGCUGGGCCGACGCGCCACCUACGAUGAAUUGGUCGCGAAUUGUCGACGGCGCGUCAAGGAACCGUCGCAGCAUGCGAAAUUCGCUAGCUGAUUGAGGAGCUCAACAAUCACUCCGAUACAUUAUUUCACCAAAGCUCUCUGUUAUAUCAUUCACUAGUCGAUUUUGACUGAUAACGACGCUGUGAAGGAGGGAAAGCGCUAGCGAGCGAUCGUGAUUCUCGGGAAUUUAGAUAGUCCUGACUCAGUAUUCAAUGUACAAUAAUCUGUAUAUAUCGAUGGAGAACAUCCCUUGGAGGGGGAGACGAAGAUAGGACACAAAGUAAGCUAGACGAGGAGUUUUUAGACAUGACUGGAAAGCUCAGAUACUUGAUGAUAUGAUGAGAAACACUGCCACUCAGUUCAAGUUGCUCGUGAUUGAACCCGCGUGAGGAUAAUGUAAAGCGUACACAACCUCUCACAAAAGAAUGAAGCUCAAAGCUGAAGCCAAAUAAAUAUUCAAUAGUGAUCUUUGACUAA